rnacentral:rRNA from 1 species
CCCUUAGAUGUUCUGGGCCGCACGCGCGCUACACUGACUACUUCAACGAGUUGUUUCCUUGAUCGAAAGGUCUGGGUAAUCUUUGAAAGGUAGUCGUGAUGGGGAUAGAUCCUUGCAAUUUUUGAUCUUCAACGAGGAAUUCCUAGUAAACGCAAGUCAUCAGCUUGCAUUGAUUACGUCCCUGCCCUUUGUACACACCGCCCGUCGCACCUACCGAUUGAAUGGUCCGGUGAAUCCUUAGGACUGUGGCUGAGGCCUUGCCUUGUGCGGGUCUGGCCGUGGGAAUUUAGUUAAACCUUACCAUUUAGAGGAAGGUGAAGUCGUAACA